GUUGACCUCGGAUCAGGUAGGAAUACCCGCUGAACUUAAGCAUAUCAAUAAGCGGAGGAAAAGAAACCAACAGGGAUUGCCCCAGUAACGGCGAGUGAAGCGGCAACAGCUCAAAUUUGAAAUCUGGCCUUCUGGUCCGAAUUGUAAUUUGUAGAGGAUGCUUUUGGUUAGGUACCUUCCGAGUUCCUUGGAACAGGACGCCUUAGAGGGUGAGAGCCCCGUACGGUUGGAUACCGAGCCUCUGUAAAGCUCCUUCGACGAGUCGAGUAGUUUGGGAAUGCUGCUCUAAAUGGGAGGUAAAUUUCUUCUAAAGCUAAAUACCGGCCAGAGACCGAUAGCGCACAAGUAGAGUGAUCGAAAGAUGAAAAGCACUUUGAAAAGAGGGUUAAAUAGUACGUGAAAUUGUUGAAAGGGAAGGGCUUAUGACCAGACCUUUGCCUUGCGGAUCAUCCGGUGUUCUCACCGGUGCACUUCGCUUGGUUUAGGCCAGCAUCGAUUUCGGUAGGGGGAUAAAGACUUUAGUAAUGUGGCUCCUCCGGGAGUGUUAUAGACUAUUGUGUAAUACCUUNACUGGGAUCGAGGACCGCGCUUCGGCUAGGAUGCUGGCAUAAUGGUCAUCAGCCACCCGUCUUGAAACACGGACCAAGGAGUCGAACAUUUAUGCGAGUGUUUGGGUGUUAAACCCUCACGCGUAAUGAAAGUGAACGGAGGUGAGAGCCCUUUUGGGUGCAUCAUCGACCGAUCCUGAUGUCUUCGGAUGGAUUUGAGUAAGAGCAUAACUGUUCGGACCCGAAAGAUGGUGAACUAUGCGUGGAUAGGGUGAAGCCAGAGGAAACUCUGGUGGAGGCUCGCAGCGGUUCUGACGUGCAAAUCGAUCGUCAAAUCUGCGCAUGGGGGCGAAAGACUAAUCGAAC
rnacentral:rRNA from 1 species